GUAGGUUAUAACCUAUAAAUAAAGAAAACUAGUGAUGUGGCCCUGGGCCUUUCUAAAUCUCCACUUCUUUAUCUGUGGAACGAAUGUGGACAUAAACAAGGAUGAUAAUAACUACCCUGUGGCGUUGUUAUGAAAGUCAAAAGAGAUAAGGUGUGUAAAGCCCCUUGCACAGGGCCGGGCAUACAGUAGGUACUCAACAGUGACGUGUUCCCUCCAUUCCCGUAAAGAGCUGCCGCAAUGACCCAGAAUCAUUAUUUACUCACUCCCCAAUCAUCCAUCCAACCACUGACUGCAAAGGUCUUGAAACACGGAAUGGCUUCCAUUUCAGUUCUGCAUACGGUAUUCUGCAUGGAAUCUCUGUCUGCUCUGUGUCCUUAAAAUGUUGAAUUAGUUGGGAUUAAUUCUGGUUUCUCUUGAAAACAGAAAAUCAGAGAGCAAUGGACUUGUGAUGGGCUUAAGUCAAGGUUUAACAGCUGCCCUCUUUACAGGACAUGGUCUCCAGGUGAUUCAGAGGAUUCAAAGAAUGGAAGACAAGACCCCCUACUUUCUAUGGAAUGUGUAGGAUGAGGAAGAAGCUAGGACAUAGUCGCACUUCACUGUAUACGUCAUCCAAACAAGAGCAUCUUGGGUAGAAACUAUGCCACCCAUUAAACACGAUGUAGAGACAUAUGUUGAGAUAUGGAACAAUUUCUAAGAUAGAGUAAAAGGAAAAAAAGAAAGCAACAGAGAAGUGUGAAUAGUAUGUUCGUAAAAGACAGUACAAAGACAUGUUCCAACAUGCAUAAAAUAUCUCUAGAAUAAAACUCAAGAAGUAACAGCGA